rnacentral:SRP_RNA from 1 species
GCCAGGCAUGGUGGCUCAUGCCUGUAAUCCCAGCACUUUAGGAGGCUGAGGUGGGUGGAUCACUUGAGGCCAGGAGUUCAAGACCAGCCUGGCCAACAUGGUGAAACCCCAUCUCUA